AUUUAUAUAGUUUAAAAAAAAACAUUACAUUUUCAUUGUAAAAACAAAAUUACUUAUUUUUAUAAAUU
rnacentral:tRNA from 1 species